CUUCACCGACCCGAGCAGCAGCGGCGUCUGCCGGUCCCGGCCGUAGGUGGCCAGCAGCGCCUGCGCCUC
rnacentral:antisense_RNA from 1 species